rnacentral:rRNA from 1 species
AACGAACGCUGGCGGCAUGCCUAACACAUGCAAGUCGAACGAGACCUUCGGGCCUAGUGGCGCACGGGUGCGUAACGCGUGGGAACCUGCCCUUAGGUUCGGAAUAACUCCCCGAAAGGGGUGCUAAUACCGGAUAAUGUCUUCGGACCAAAGAUUUAUCGCCUUUGGAUGGGCCCGCGUUGGAUUAGCUAGUUGGUAGGGUAAAAGCCUACCAAGGCGACGAUCCAUAGCUGGUCUGAGAGGAUGAUCAGCCACACCGGGACUGAGACACGGCCCAGACUCCUACGGGAGGCAGCAGUGGGGAAUAUUGGACAAUGGGCGAAAGCCUGAUCCAGCAAUGCCGCGUGAGUGAUGAAGGCCUUAGGGUUGUAAAGCUCUUUUACCCGGGAUGAUAAUGACAGUACCGGGAGAAUAAGCUCCGGCUAACUCCGUG